AACAGGAUUAGAUACCCUGGUAGUCCACGCCGUAAACGAUGUCGACUUGGAGGCUGUUCCCCUGAGGAGUGGCUUCCGGAGCUAACGCGUUAAGUCGACCGCCUGGGGAGUACGGCCGCAAGGUUAAAACUCAAAUGAAUUGACGGGGGCCCGCACAAGCGGUGGAGCAUGUGGUUUAAUUCGAUGCAACGCGAAGAACCUUACCUACUCUUGACAUCCAGAGAACUUUCCAGAGAUGGAUUGGUGCCUUCGGGAACUCUGAGACAGGUGCUGCAUGGCUGUCGUCAGCUCGUGUUGUGAAAUGUUGGGUUAAGUCCCGCAACGAGCGCAACCCUUGUCCUUUGUUGCCAGCGAUUCGGUCGGGAACUCAAAGGAUACUGCCGGUGAUAAACCGGAGGAAGGUGGGGAUGACGUCAAGUCAUCAUGGCCCUUACGAGUAGGGCUACACACGUGCUACAAUGGCGCAUACAAAGAGAAGCGACCUCGCGAGAGCAAGCGGACCUCAUAAAGUGCGUCGUAGUCCGGAUCGGAGUCUGCAACUCGACUCCGUGAAGUCGGAAUCGCUAGUAAUCGUGGAUCAGAAUGCCACGGUGAAUACGUUCCCGGGCCUUGUACACACCGCCCGUCACACCAUGGGAGUGGGUUGCAAAAGAAGUAGGUAGCUUAACCUUCGGGAGGGCGCUUACCACUUUGUGAUUCAUGACUGGGGUGAAGUCGUAACAAGGUACC
rnacentral:rRNA from 1 species